rnacentral:rRNA from 1 species
CGGAGGGUGCAAGCGUUAUCCGGAUUCACUGGGUUUAAAGGGUGCGUAGGUGGCUUUGUAAGUCAGUGGUGAAAUCUUAGAGCUUAACUCUAAAACUGCCAUUGAUACUGCUUAGCUUGAAUCAGGUAGAGGUGGAUGGAAUAUUACAUGUAGCGGUGAAAUGCUUAGAUAUGUAAUAGAACACCGAUUGCGAAGGCAGUUCACUAUGCCUGCAUUGACACUGAGGCACGAAAGCGUGGGGAUCAAACAGGAUUAGAUACCCUGGUAGUCCACGCCCUAAACGAUGUAAACUCGACAUUAGCGAUAUACUGUUAGUGUCCAAGCGAAAGCGUUAAGUUUACCACCUGGGAAGUACGACCGCAAGGUUG